GGGCCACUUCUUGCGCGCUGCCAGAAGGAGCUAUUUUGAGCAGGUCUGUGGCGGAAGUGGGUGUUCCCGGGUCUCUGCUGCCCAGCUGUGCCCGCUGCCGUCUUGGGGUCCCGGGGUGCGCGGGUUGGGCUGGGUGAGCUCAGAGGCACCUUGUCGGCAGCCGAGCCUGAAGAGGCGACCUCGAAACGCCUCGUGAGACCUUUCGCGGGCACACGCCCUUCGCGUUCCUCCGCUUCCUCCCACGUUUCUUCAGCCCCUGGCGGGGCGCUGGGGUGCCCGGUAGUUAAGGGUGGGGUGGCAGCGAGCGUUUCUGUGCACCCGCAGCGUGCCACGCCCGUGCUAAGCACUUUGCCUAUAGAGCCAGUGGCUUAAUUCUGCAAUAGCACAGUGAAGAACUUCGCCUCAUUUUACAGACGUGGAAACAGGCUCAUCAAGUGCUCUGUAAUUGUAAAACCUGGGAUAACAAAGGAGCAAAACGCAAUUUAGAGGCAAGUGUGUGGGACUUGACUUUGGUUAGAAAUAGGCUUUGCAGGCCAGGCGCGGUGGCUCUUGCCUGUAAUCCUAGCACUUUGGGAGGCCGAGACGGGCGGAUUAUCUGAGCUCAGGAGUUCGAGACCAGCCUGGGCAACAUGGUGAAACCCUGUGUCUACUAAAAUACAAAAAAUUAGCCGGGCGUGGUGGCGUGCGCCUGUAGUCCCAGCUACUCGGGAGGCUGAGGCAGGAGAAUUGCUUGAACCUGGGAGGUGGAGGUUGAAGUGAGCAGAGAUCGUGCCACUGCACUCCAGCCUGGGCGACAGAGCGAGACUCUGUCUCCAAAAAAAAAAAAGAAAGAAAGAAAUAGGCUUUGCAAGUUAGUAGUUCUGUGACUGAAUCCCAGUCUGUAUAAGACCCUCAGGCAUCCCCCGGUCCAAACCAAAACCUGUCUGCGAAGGAUGAUUUCACAGGAGCAAACCAAGACUUUAUUUCCAGUUUUAUAACCUGCCUUGGGGUCUUCGGCUAGGAAGCUAAGAGACACAGAAAGCUGAGAUUGGGCAAAGACAGGAUCUACCAUCCACUCCGAGCUCUGGGAGCACCUGAAAUGCGAUUUGAUGUCACCACCACCAUCCCCAGUUCAACCACAGUUCAUGUGUGGAAUUUAACCUGCAAAGUUGGGUUUGCUGAGACCCAACGCCGGUUGGAUCAUGUGAAGAUCAGAUCCUUUCACUAUGUAUUUGCUUUAAUUUUUCCAACUAGUUCGGAUCUAACAUGAAGUACAGUAUUGAGGCUCACUCCAGAAGUGAAAAUAUACAAUCGGCAGGCAGAUUUUAGUUCUUUGCCUGCCCUUUUCAAAAAUCAAUGACUGGGCUGGGCGCGGUGGCUCACGCCUGUAAUCCCAACAUUUUGGGAGGCCAAGGCGGGCGGAUCACCUGAGGUCAGGAGUUUGAGACCAGCCUGACCGAUAUGGUGAAACCCGUCUCUACUAAAAAUAUAAAAAUUAGCCAGGCGUGGUGGCGUGUGCCUGUAUUCCCAGCUACUCGGGAGUCUGAGACAGGAAAAUUGCUUGAACUUGGGAGGGGGAGGCUUCAGUGAGCCGAGAUCUCACCACUGCACUCCAGCCUGGGCGACAGAGCGAGACUCCUUCUAAAAAAAAAAAAAAAAAAAAAAAAAAAAAUCAAUGACUGUGACUCUGUUUUCAUUUCCUCUUUGGCAACAUAGGGACAAUUUUUACUGCUGGGGCUGAAAUUACAAACAUAAGACACAGCCUCUCCUCUAG
rnacentral:lncRNA from 1 species